CACAUGCUCAUUUUCCACUGGCUGAUCAUGGGCAAACCCUCAAUCACAUCCAAACCCUGCUGUGCUACCACGAAUGCUGGAAAGAGACUGCUCAAGGAUACUCUUGGAAUGCAAAGACAAAUUCCAGGUAAACUGAGGCACGGCGCUGCUGAAGCCUUAAGCUCCAUUUCCCUCUGGCUGCAGGGGAGCUGUGCAUGUUCAGCACCUCUGGAAGUCAGAGCAGCAAGGACAGGCACAGACCGACCCCAGAACUGCGGCACCAACCAGAGGAACACCAGAAAUCAAUCCCAUCCCACGGGCUAUGCCAGGCUCGUGUCUAUCUGUUGGAAGGCUCCCAGGAUCAGAGCGAUUCCCCACUGCAAGCUCCCACCCAGCCACCCCACCAAACCAACAUCUGAACCUCAUCAUUGAAAACAGCAUCCUGUUAACCUUUUCAAUGCCAUUUUCCCCUAAUCUUCCUUUCUGCUCUUCAUCACUACCAGGUUUAGCAACCCCUGCCUCUGUGUCAGCCCCAUUAGCAGCAGCACUGCUAUCGAUUCUCCUGGUCACAGUGAGGUGGACGUGAAGUUUCCUGGUUAACAGAGCAGAGCCUGGGAGCAGCACCACUCUCUGCCUCCCCUCCCUGAUUCAAGGUGAAGGCAAACGGGCAGAUCAGCCUCCUUUCCUAAUCCUUCCUACAAGCCCAAGUGGGAAACAGCAAAGGCGUGCACUUGCUACUCUCCAGUGCUUCUGAAUUCAGCCAAAUGGAGGUGAGAUUUGGCAUGCCCCAACAUCACCUUGUCUUUGCCAGAACCCAGCACAAGCACCUGAAGAUAAAGCCAGGCAGCACCAUGAGCUCGCUGGUGGGUUCUCCGCAGGUAAAUCUGCGUUGCAAGCUGCAGCUGCCGGCUCACACGCUUAACCAGAGCAGAGAAGCAGCACCAGGGUGCCAGCAGAUGAAGAUGCCUUUGAACAGAGAUGAGAAAGGCUGAAAUCCUUUGACACCUGGAAGUGAACUGUAUAUUACUAAAAUGUUAAGCAGCUUUGUGAGAGAGAUUAUCCUGAAGGAUAUUUUCCGCAGUGUUGACAUUUGUGUGUGAGUGAUUAAUUCCAGCGCGGGCAUGGAGCAGGGAGGCAAAACCCUUUGUGCAUCGCUCGUGACUUCCCUCGCUGCCACCAGCCAAGCCACAGCCUUCAGUCUAGAGAGGUCAUUAAUGCCUCCCUGACCUGUGACACUGUGUUACUUCAUCACCCUCAUCUGCUCGGUCACCUCUGAAGGCAGAGACUUGGGGAUUUUCCAUGCCCCUUUUUUGUCAACCACUGUGGCAGCAGAGUCACUUUUCUGCUGUUUGUUCUCCUGGUUUUUGACUGCCUCUAUAUUUUGUUGUUAUCUCUUGAGAUGCUCCAUCACAGCCACAGUGAAACACAGAGCAAUGGCUUUAAAAGAGAGGGACGGUAACAGCAGAAAACAAAGAUGAACCCUUGCUUUUGUGCAAGGGCAGCAGAAGGUAGCUGUGAAGCUGCAGGUCAUGAAGGCAAACAGGGAAGCUGGAAUUUUCUGACCCUCCCACCCUGCUCAUCGCUGGCUCUCAAGGGAAACAGCCUUGUCCUUUCCCAACCCUUUCAGGCAAGGAUGUCUUUCACUGGGGAAUUUAAUCCACUGCAGAAAGGUUGUUAUGUGUCUUUUGGGGUUUUCAACUAAAUGCUUCAAAAGUAUGAAGAAAAAAAAAAGAAAAUAUAAACUAUAAAAAGAAUUAAAAGAUAUAUAAUAAUAUAUAUAAUCUAUCUGUCUAUAAAAAUAGUAUAUCAGAACAGAAAAGCAAUAUAAAAAGAAAGAAAACAACUGCUGUCUAAUGACUGAAGUUCCUAAGCCCAUUUUUGCACUGGAGACCACUUCACACUUACACAAUCAAUGGCUCUCCUCAGCCAUUUAUUUUGGACUGGGGUGUCUUACACUCAGCGUCUCUACAAGCAGCUCUUACUACUGAUGAUAUAUGUUAGGUAACACCUUAGAUGUGUUUAAGACACAAUGAGUUUUCAUCCACCAGGAAUCCAAGCAUUAUUAUACAUGGUAGUGACCCGGGUAGGUGCACUUGCAAUUAUUUCAGCCAGCACUGAAAUUUGACAGUUUGGAAGCAGAAGACUGUGUGAUGGGGAAGGGUACAUCAGAGCAGGUGCAUGAGUUGUCCAGGAGAGAGCACGGACAGCACUUUGAACCCUGCAUGAAGUCAUCAGAUCUGCAGCAUGGAGCAGACCCUGGAAUCAAACCUCUUUGCUCUCAC